rnacentral:rRNA from 1 species
AUUGAACGCUGGCGGCAGGCCUAACACAUGCAAGUCGGACGGUAGCACAGAGGAGCUUGCUCCUCGGGUGACGAGUGGCGGACGGGUGAGUAAUGUCUGGGGAUCUGCCCGAUAGAGGGGGAUAACCACUGGAAACGGUGGCCAAUACCGCAUAACGUCGCAAGACCAAAGAGGGGGACCUUCGGGCCUCACACCAUCGGAUGUGCCCAGAUGGGAUUAGCUAGUAGGUGGGGUAAUGGCUCACCUAGGCGACGAUCCCUAGCUGGUCUGAGAGGAUGACCAGCCACACUGGAACUGAGACACGGUCCAGACUCCUACGGGAGGCAGCAGUGGGGAAUAUUGCACAAUGGGCGCAAGCCUGAUGCAGCCAUGCCGCGUGUAUGAAGAAGGCCUUCGGGUUGUAAAGUACUUUCAGCGGGGAGGAAGGCGGUGAAGUUAAUAACUUCACCGAUUGACGUUACCCGCAGAAGAAGCACCGGCUAACUCCGUACCAGCAGCCGCCGUAA